CGCAGAGUCCCAGCACAGAGCAGAGUAGAACAGAGUAGGAUUGGAGCUGAGAGAUAAUGGGGUCUCUGUUGCCCAGGCUGGAGGACAAUGGCGUGAUCUCAGCUCACCGUGACUUCUGCCUCCUGAGCUCAAGCAAUUCUCCUGCCUCAGCCUCCUGAGUAGCUGGGACUACAGCUGGAAUAAAAGCACCAUGAAUGCAGGAAUUUUGCCAACUUCUGGCACAGAGAUGGCUUUCAAAAUCUAUUUGGUGAAUGAAUGAAUGAAUUGCAUUUUCUUCCUAAAUUUCACAAUUGAGCGGUCCUAAUCUGCAUAUCCAAGAGCAAUGUAUGUGAACCUACGUUUCCACAGCCUCACCCACAGAAUGUGUGCUCAAACAUUUGGAUUUUUGCCCAUCUACUAGGUCAGCAUUUUACCUAUGGAUGGCAUUUUCUAUUUUCGGUGACGGACUAUGAGCCAGGAUAAACACAUUACUCUCUUCUUUAACAAAAAGAGCAUGGUUAACUCCAAAGACUUCUCUAGACCAGCCUGGAUGGUACCUAAACUUUAAUCAACCAAUGCUCAAGUAAAAGAGCAGUAUCCAGCCCCAGCACACCUAACUGUUUUGCAUAACAUAGAUCUCACCCCACAGGCCUUGGAAACCUGAGGCAGUAUUCUUCUGGGAUGUUUCCAACUAGGCUUCCCAUGAGG
rnacentral:lncRNA from 10 species